UCUAAAUAUAAUAUAUACUUUCUUAUGUAGAUUGCACCUGAUUGGAGGCAGGCCUCAUCUCUCAAGAAGGUGGUAGAAGAUAAAAUUACAAAAGAUGGUGCCAUUGGCAUUGGCAUUGCUGCGACAGCCGUGGGACUUUUGGUUGGUGGAAUUGCUGCUGCGGUUGCUCGGAAGAGGUGAAAGAAUCCUUAGGGGGCAACGCAUACCAUAAAAGACCUUCGACCUUGUUGCUGACUCUAUCAUGCCUUCAAUCUUUUGCAUUUACAGUUGCCAAACAUGUUACAAUAAUAGUUUAAAGAUUUAAUUUACAGUAUGUUAUCUCGAUCUGCAUGUAGAAGAUACCUGCACAUGUUUAUAUCCUGUUUUUUUCACAGUUAUAAAUGUGAGUUUUGUUCAAUUGAAG